ACGGGUGAGGAAUACGUCGGAAUCUGCCUAUUUGUGGGGGAUAACGUAGGGAAACUUACGCUAAUACCGCAUACGACCUACGGGUGAAAGCGGAGGACCUUCGGGCUUCGCGCAGAUAGAUGAGCCGACGUCGGAUUAGCUAGUUGGCGGGGUAAAGGCCCACCAAGGCGACGAUCCGUAGCUGGUCUGAGAGGAUGAUCAGCCACACUGGAACUGAGACACGGUCCAGACUCCUACGGGAGGCAGCAGUGGGGAAUAUUGGACAAUGGGCGCAAGCCUGAUCCAGCCAUGCCGCGUGUGUGAAGAAGGCCUUCGGGUUGUAAAGCACUUUUGUCCGGAAAGAAAAGCAUUGGGUUAAUACCCCGAUGUCAUGACGGUACCGGAAGAAUAAGCACCGGCUAACUUCGUGCCAGCAGCCGCGGUAAUACGAAGGGUGCAAGCGUUACUCGGAAUUACUGGGCGUAAAGCGUGCGUAGGUGGUUUGUUAAGUCUGAUGUGAAAGCCCUGGGCUCAACCUGGGAAUGGCAUUGGAAACUGGCUGACUAGAGUGCGGUAGAGGGUAGUGGAAUUCCCGGUGUAG
rnacentral:rRNA from 1 species